UUGGAGGGCAAGUCUGGUGCCAGCAGCCGCGGUAAUUCCAGCUCCAAUAGCGUAUAUUAAAGUUGUUGCAGUUAAAAAGCUCGUAGUUGAAUUUCGGGAUCAGAUUGUCGGUCGUGCCUCGGUACGCACUGGCAUUAUUGGUUCCUACCUUCUGAAGAACCGCGAUGUCAUUAAUUUGGUGUCGUGGGGAAUCUGGACUGUUACUUUGAAAAAAUUAGAGUGUUUAAAGCAGGCGCACGCUUGAAUACAUUAGCAUGGAAUAAUGAAAUAGGACGUUUGAUUCUAUUUUGUUGGUUUCUAGGAUCGACGUAAUGAUUAAUAGGGAUAGUUGGGGGCAUUAGUAUUCAAUUGUCAGAGGUGAAAUUCUUGGAUUUAUUGAAGACUAACUACUGCGAAAGCAUUUGCCAAGGAUGUUUUCAUUAAUCAAGAACGAAAGUUAGGGGAUCGAAGACGAUCAGAUACCGUCGUAGUCUUAACCAUAAACUAUGCCGACUAGGGAUCGGAUGAUGUUAAUUUUUUAAUGACUCAUUCGGCGCCUUACGGGAAAC
rnacentral:rRNA from 1 species